rnacentral:rRNA from 1 species
GACGAACGCUGGCGGCGUGCUUAACACAUGCAAGUCGAACGGAAAGGCCCUGCUUUUGUGGGGUGCUCGAGUGGCGAACGGGUGAGUAACACGUGAGUAACCUGCCCUUGACUUUGGGAUAACUUCAGGAAACUGGGGCUAAUACCGGAUAGGAGCUCCUGCUGCAUGGUGGGGGUUGGAAAGUUUCGGCGGUUGGGGAUGGACUCGCGGCUUAUCAGCUUGUUGGUGGGGUAGUGGCUUACCAAGGCUUUGACGGGUAGCCGGCCUGAGAGGGUGACCGGCCACAUUGGCACUGAGAUACGGCCCAGACUCCUACGGGAGGCAGCAGUGGGGAAUAUUGCAUAAUGGGCGGAAGCCUGAUGCAGCAACGCCGCGUGCGGGAUGACGGCCUUCGGGUUGUAAACCGCUUUCGCCUGUGACGAAGCGUGAGUGACGGUAAUGGGUAAAGAAGCACCGGCUAACUACGUG